rnacentral:lncRNA from 10 species
CGCAGAGAGAAGAAAUAACUUGCUGAGGGUCCGAACCAGGCUCAGAACCCAGGGGGCAGCAUCUUCUACUAUGUGCAUCUACAUUGGAUGGCAGUGGAGCAACACAGAUUGUUUUCUGACAAAAAUCAGCCAAGUACUAGGAGAGGCAGGACUUUAGAAGUGGAGGAGAUGGAGAAGGAAGCUUAGGUUACUAUGGAGUGUGCAAAAAGGUCCUGUGGAUUUAGAUACCACCACACACAAAUGCUGUUGUUGGAAGGUACCUGCCCAGAUAAGGACUGCAUUUCCUCUAGCAUCCAGAUGGGACCAAAUGACUGCUGGCCAAUAGAAGUGAGUGGAAAGGACUGACUCCAGUUCCAGGUUGGGCCUCCAACUGCUCUGGGCACGUCGAUGGAACAGAACACCACCUCCACCCCAAUACCACCAAUUCAACUUUACAUGAAUUAUAAGCGAGAAAUAACUUGGACUGUGUUAAGUCAUUGAGUUUCUGGGGUUUAACUGUUAUUAUAGUUAAGAAUGACUUUAACUAAUAUAGUCAAUGACAUCUAACUGGAGUUAUGAAAUUCAAUUUCUACUUAGAGUAAUUGAAGCAAAGGUUGUGGGGGAGGGGAGGAGGGCAGCACACCAUGAAAUCAGAGAUCCCCAGUACGUGUUAGUUCAUCAGUCAAUCAGUCUUAAGGUCAGGGUGUAGUGUGGGCAGCAGUUGCCUCCCUCUCCCCACAGAACACCCUGAGAAUAGGAAGUUAGAGUAGUCGCAUCUUAUUACUUACAAAACAUUACCUCAAAAUGCAAACUACCCCCUGGACCCAAACUCUCUACAAUCACCAGGUUCCAUAAACUAUAAUCUACUCUGUUUUCUGGAAGAAAAUAUUAACCUGUUAAAAUUCCCUGC